AAGAGAGUCGUAGAGGUUACGGAGUUGGCUUGAAACCAAUUUUUGGGGGUUCGAUUCCUUCCUUUCUUG
rnacentral:tRNA from 1 species